GCGCGGGCGCGGUGCGCCUCUCUGCGCCUGCGCGGGCGCGGUGCGCCUCUCUGCGCCUGCGCGGGCGCGGUGCCUUUGCGAGGACGGAGCUGCGUUCGCCGCAGCACAGACCCAGAUGGCAUCGCGAGCUCGGAGCUGCAUUCUCCUCUGCACAGACUCCGGGGUACUGUGAAGGCGGAGCAGCGUUCUUCUCAGCACAGACCUGGGCGUGCGGGCCAGGGGCACCGCGAGGGCGGAGCUGCGUUCUGCUCAGCACAGACCUGGGGGACACCGCAAAGGCGGAGCUCCAUUCCCCUCAGCACAGACGUUGGGGGCCCUACCUCGCUUUGGGACAACUCGGGGCAGCAUCGACGUAUUAUUGGGAGUCAUAUCAUCCUGUGGCCCUGAGGAGAGAAGGCAUUUCUCUUUCUGUCUCCUGUCUCUGAAGAGGAGGAGGAAGUAAAAGUUGAAAACCAAGAAGAUUGAAGUCAGUGGCAAGACCAGCCGCUGCCACUGAUGAGCCGGCCUGAGGUGAAAAGAUGAACCCCCCCUCCCCCACUCUAAGCACAUGUGCUCUGAAUCCAUCGGGACCCUUUCAGGUGGAAACCCUUAGAGUUGUAAGCCCUGAGAAAAGGCCUAGUAAGUCUGUCUUCCUUCGGGGCGCUCGGCUCUUAAGACGCGAGUCUGCCGACGCCCCCGGCCGAUUAAAAGCAACCUCUUCCUUCUUGAAUCCGGCGUCUGAGGGGUUUGUGUCCGCGACGCGUCCUGCUCCACUUUUUGGUUCACAUGACCAGGAAUCGAACCUGGGCCGCGGCGGUGAGAGCGCCGACUCCUAACCACCAGACCACCUGGGAACUUCAAACUUCAUGGGAAAUAGAUUGCCCAACAUUAGAAGUGGGUUGGCCGUCAGAAGUAAGCCUGGACAGGUCCCUUGUUUCUCAAGUGUGGCACAAGAUAACUGGGAAAGGAUACCUAGACCGCUUCCCAUACAUAGACACUUGGUGACAGCUGGUGCUAGACCCCCCACAGUGGCUAAGAGGGCAGGCAGCAGCAAUACUAGUAGCCAAGGGACAGACAGCUAAGGAAGGAUCCUGCUCCACCUGCCCAGGGAAAUCAACUCCUCAAGUUCUGUUCGACCCAACAUCAGAAGAUCCAUUGCAGGAGAUGGCACCAGUGAUCCCAGUGGUACCCUCCCGUUACCAGGGAAAGAGGCUCCCCACUCUUGAGCCCACAGUGCUUGUGCCUCCGCAAGACAAGCGUAUCCCUAGGCCACCCAGAGGAGACAAGAGAGGAGGUGACGCCUCGGGAGAAACCCCUCCCUUGGCAGCUCGUUGACGACCCAAAACGGGGAUACAGAUGCCCCUGACAGAGCAGCGGUAUACUGGGAUAGAUGAGGAUGGUCACGUGGUGGAGAGGCGUGUUUUUCUCUACCAGCCCUUCACCUGUGCCGACCUUCUCAACUGGAAAAACCAUACCCCGUCCUAUACCGAAAAGCCACAAGCUCGAAUUGAUUUGCUCCCAACUAUUAUCCAGACCCACAACCCCACCUGGGCUGAUUGCCACCGGUUGCUCAUGUUCCUCUUUCACAGAGAUGAAAGGUGGAGAGUGUUCCUAGCAGCAACUAAGUGGCUAGAGGAACACGCACCAGCUGAUUAUCAAAACCCCCAAGAGUAUGGAAGGACCCAGUUACCAGGAACCGGCCCCCAGUGGGACCCAAAUGAAAGAGAGAAUAUGCAAAGGCUAAACCGAGACAGGGAAGCUCUCUUGGAAGCAUUCAAGAAGGGAGCUCAGAAGGCCACAAACGUUAACAAGGUCUCUGAGGUCAUUUGGGGAAAAGAAGAAAGUCCAGCACAAUUCUUUUUUUUUUUUUUUUUUUGAGAUGGAGUCUUUCUCUGUCCCCCAGGCUGGAGUGCAGUGGCGCGAUCUCAGCUCACUGCAAGCUCCACCUCCCGGGUUCACACCAUUCUCCUGCCUUAGCCUCCCAAGUAGCUGGGACUACAGGCGCCCACCAACACGCCCAGCUAAUUUUUUUGUGUGUUUUUAGUAGAGACGGGGUUUCACCGUGUUAGCCAGGAUGGUCUCGAUCUCCUGACCUUGUGAUCCGCCCACCUCAGCCUCCCAAAGUGCCAGGAUUACAGGCUUCAGCCACCGCUCCCAGCCAAUUCCAGCACAAUUCUAUGAGAGAUUGUGUGAGGCCUAUCGUAUGUAUACUCCCUUUGAUCCUGAUAGCCCUGAAAAUCAGCACAUGCUUCACAUGGCUUGAGUCCGUCAAAGCGCAGAAGACAUGAGAAGAAAACUGCAGAAACAGGCUGGGCUUGCAGGGAUGAAUACAUCACAAUUAUUAGAAAGAGCUAAGCAGGUGUUUGUAAACAGGGAUGCAGUAAGCUGUAAGGAACACCGCACAGAGAAUGAACGUUAGGCCCGGCGACACCGACCUUCCUGUUAGCUUCAGGAAUCAGAGGGCUCCCCACAAAGAGGCAAGGGAAGGGGGGCCCUGGGAAAGAAACUCAGCUUUGCUGUCAGAGUUGGCAGCGUAACCAGUGUGCUUAUUGUAAAGAAAUAGGACAUUGGAAGAACAAAUGCCCUCAGCUUUAAAGAAAACAAGGUGACUCAGAGCAGGAGGCCCCAGACAAGGAGGAAGGGGCCCUGCUCAACCUGGCAGAAGGGUUCUUGGACUGAGCGAGAGUGGGCUCAAGUGUCCCCAAAGAGCCUAUGGUCAGAAUGACAGUCGGGGGUAGAGGCGUUGAUUUUCUCGUAGAUACCGGUGCUGGACAUUCGCUAGUAACCGCCCCGGUCGCCCCCUUCUCCAGAAAGACUAUUGACAUCAUCGGAACCACAGGGGUUUCAGCAAAGCAAGCUUUCUGCUUGCCUGGGACUUGCACUGUUGGAGGACAUACAGUGACUCAUCAGUUUUUGUCCAUGCCUGACUGUCCCUUGCCCUUGUUGGGGAGGGACUUGCUUAACAAGCUGAGAGGCACUGUCUUUUUGACAGAGCAUGGCUCUUUGCUGCUAAAGCUACCCAGAACGGGAGUCACUAUGAGCCUUAUGGUCCCCGGAGAGGAGGAAUGGAGACUUUUCUUCACUGAACUGGGCCAAGAGAGAAGACCAGCUCCGGCUAAGCAGUGGCCAAGAGUAGGGGCGGAAGAUAACCCUCCAGGGUUGAUAUGGGGAGUAAUAUCAUCCUAUCCCCGUUGGGAUAUUCAGAACCAUAUCCCAGGGGGGUGUCCACCCUCUGUGAUAUUGGGAGUAAUGUCAUCCUUUGUUUCCUUGGAUAUUAGACACAAUAUCACAAAAAGGUGUACACCCCCGUGAUACUGGGAGUAAUAUCAUACUCUCCUUCCCUGGAUAUUAGAAAACAAUAUCAUCAGGGCUGAACACCCCCUGCGAUAAUGGGAGUAAUAUUUUCUUUUUUUCUUCUUUUCUUUUUCUCUUUCUUUUCUUUUUUUUGAGACAGAGUUUCACUCUUGUUGCCCAGGCUGGAGUGCGAUGGCACGAUCUCGGCUCACUGCAACCUCUGCCUCCCGUAUUCAGGCAAUUCUCCUGUCUCAGCCUUCUGAGUAGCUGGGAUUACAGGCAUGUGCUACCACGCCCCAUUCAGUUUUCUUUUCUUUUUUUUUUUUUUUUGUAUUUUUAGUAGACACAUUGUUUCUCCAUACUGGUCAGGCUGGUCUUGAACUCCAGACCUGGGAUAUUUUCUCCUGCUGAGGCAGGAGAAUGGCGUGAACCAGGGAGGCGGAGCUUGCAGUGAGCCAAGAUCGUGCCAGUGCCCUCCAGCCUGGGCGACAGAGCAAGACUCCGUCUCAAAAAAAAAAAAAAAGACAAUGGAAAAAAUCAGCUCAGCGUGGUGGCGUGUGCCUAUAGUCCCAGCUACUCGGGAGGCUGAGGCACAAGAAUCGCUUGAACCCGGGAAGCGGAGGUUGCAGUGAGCUCAGAUUGUGCCACUGCACUCCAGCCUUUGCGACAGUGAGACUCCAUGUAAACACAAAACAAAACAAAACAAAAUGAAACAAAACCAAAAAACAAAACCAGACAGGCACUUCUGACACAGGCUGCAACAUGGAUGAACCUUGAAGACAUUAUCGUCAAUGAAAUAAAGAAAUCUCAAAAGGAUAAACAAGACCAGGCUCAGUGGCUCACACCUGUAACCCCAGCACUUUGGGAGGCUGAGGCAGGCAGAUCCCUUAAGGUCAGGAGUUCGAGAGCAGCCUGGCCAAUAUGCUGAAAGCUCGUCUCUGUUAAAAAUACAAAAAUUAGCUGGGCGUGGGUGCGCAUGCUUGUAAUCCCAGCUACUCGGGAGACUGGGGCACAAGAAUCGCUCGAACCCACGAUGUGGAGUUUACAGUGAGCCAAGAUCACGCCACUGCACUCCAGCCUGGGCGACAGAGAAAGACGCUGUCUCAAAAAAAAAAAAAAAAAAACAGAAAAACAAAUUCAACACGGUAUUAUUCCACUUCUAUCAAGUGCCUAGAGUAGUUAAACUCAUAGAGUUGCAAAUCAGAAUGGUGGCCCCCGGGGUGGGUGAGAGAGAGGAAUGGAGAGUUUGGUGAAUGGGUGCCAUUUCCAUUUUCAAAGACAAAACUGUUCUGGAGAUGACGGCGGUGAUGGUUGCUAAACAAUGUAAAGGUACUUAAUGUCAUUCAACUGUCAACUGAAAAAUAGUGGAAAUUGUCAAUGUUUAUAGCGGCCAUUCUAGAUGAAAUCAUACCUAUUUGCAACUUUCAGUAUUGAUACGUGGUAUAUUUUCCCAUAAUAACAGAUGAAAAUGAAAGCAGUUGGAUCUUUAGAAAGAAAAGAAAGAAGCGAAGAAUACACACAAGCUUCCUCCUGAUUACAGGAAGAGCCCCAAAGCUUCUAUGGACACUCCCUUUUCUCUUCUUCUUCCUGAAGUCUUAUGAGGAAAUCUUUAGAGAUUGGGGAGCUUGGGCGACUUUGGCUAAUGAGCUCUGUGCCUUGAGCCCCCCAGGCCAUAGAAUAGUCACUACUCAGUCUGUGCCUCCAGCCCUGCAGUCUGAGGUUCCAGUCCUGGGGGCUCCACACCCGUCACCUGUAUCAGGAGGCUCAUGUCUCACCCUGUCUUCUUGCCAGCCUUGAGGACGGAGUCUGAGCCUCCAUCGUGCACCACGCAGGGAGGACAGUGGACCUGUUCUCCGCGGUCAUGGCCUGGCAGGGGGGAAGGGCAGUUCAGCUGAGGGACCUUCGGGAGCCUCGCUUUGUUUCCUCAUCCUCAGGACAAACAGGACAGUGCGGUGGGCAGAUGGGAGGAGACCAAGCUGCAACCUGUCAGCUCAGCAGACUGUGGAGUUUCUGUUCUUGCUUGUGGUGAGGGGGCCUCAGAAAUCUUAUUCAAACUUUUGCCUUCCUCCCCCACUGAGUUGUCCUUUUCAUAGACACCUCACCCAAGAUAGCAGGGAAUGAGUCCCUCUAAACUAUUCCCUAAGAACAACAAAGAUGAUGAAGGUGAUGAUGAGGAUAAAGAGGAUGAAGACAGACACCAGGGCAUCAUGAACCCUCACUGAGGGCUUCCUAAAGGCCAGGCUCUGAGCUCUGUGCUCUAUGCAGCUUGUUUCAUUUCAUCUGCGUAGUUUCCCAGUUACGAGUGCACAUUUCAUGAUGAUUUUACGGACUAGAGAAGGAGCAACGCAUUUUCAUAGGACUUGUACCAGAUCAUGAAGUCCAAAAGGGUGAAGUCCAAUUUGAACCAGGCAGUCUAAGUCCGGACACAUGGCAUUUGGCCGAUCCUCUCCCUGCAUCCAUCCUGCCCUCUCAAAUCCUUGUCACUCAGGCCGAUGCCCCUGCUCACUGUGCCCUUCCCUUUGGGGGUUCCUUGUAGACCACAGCUAGACCAGUGGGUGCCACAAUCACUGUGUCAAGUAGAGAAAGGGCAGCUGAGAUCACAUCAAAGGUUCCAGAAAGAAUGGGCACAGGAUCGUUCAGAACGCAUCUCUCCCUUGCCCCUGUUCCUGGCUUUCCUUACAGCUCUCGGCUGCCUCAAAGGAGUCAUCGAUUCGGAGUUUGGCUUCCAUUCCUACUGAGGAAGCUGGAAAGCGUUUCAAAAAAUGCUCCUCAGACUUGCCCGUGGUUAAGACCUCUGAGCUCUGCUUACAACUUUUGGAAGCUGGGCACGGUGGCUCACCCCUCUAAUCCCAGCACUUUGGGAGGCUGAGGCAGGCGAAUCACAAGGUCAGGUGUUCGAGACCAGCCUGGACCUCACGGGGAAACCCCGUCUCUACUAAAAAUAGAUAAAAAGGAGCCGGGCGUAGUGGUGGGCGCCUGUCCUCUCAGCUUCUCGGCAGGCUGAGGCAGGAGAAUAGCUUGAACCUGGGAUGCGGAGGCUGCAGUGAGCCGAGAUCACUCCACUGCACUCCAGCCUGGGCCACAGAACGAGACUCCGUCUCAAAAAAGCAAAAACAAAAACAAAACCCAAACCACAACUUUUUGAGAGUUGGAAGACCAUGAAGUAGAGUACCCGGGACUUAGAGUCUGGCCAUGAAUUUGGAAUACCACCCUUUCUACUUCUCUGUAUGGCAGUCGGUGAGAUGUCCAUCCUCUGAGACUCAGCACUCUCAUCUGAGCUGAUUUCUAGGUGAUCUAAUGGAAGCAAGCGAUGAUGAAACCGAUCGUGGGUGCCCGCUGCGUGAUCUCUCUGUGAUGGCUGCGGAAAGUCAAGGCAAAGUGAAUCUCCCAUACACUCGUUACUAUUUUAAGCUUCAACUCCAUACAGUUCAACGGAAAUAUCCCCUGACCUGAAGUUCCGGUUUCCCUGCAUUCCAGACAGGACAUUUUCUUCCGUCCUUAUCUCAGUAAGUACUCAGUAUUGUGAGAGGAACAAGUGACUCUCUUUUGUUUCUGAUUCCCCAGAGCCUGUAACUUGCUUGGCACAGAAGAGGUAGCAAAAGUCAAAAUCUAUGUUAAUUCUUGAAUUGACACUUCCUUGGUUCACAACCAUUGGCUGUCAUCAGUGUGACUUCGACUUACUUGAUUCUUUUUGUUUUUUGUGUUUUGAGAUGGAGUUUUGCUCCCAUUGCCCAGGCUGGAGUGCAGUGGUGUGAUAUCGGCUCACCGUAGCCUCUUCCUCCCAGGUUCAAGCCAUUCUCUUGCCUCAGUCUCCCGAGUAGUUGGGGCUACAGGCGUCCGCUGCCAUACCAGGAGAAGUUUUUGUAUUUUUAGUAGAGGCGGGGUUUCACCAUGUUGGCCAGGAUGUUCUGGAUCUCCUGACCCCGUGAUCCGCCCUCCUCGGCCUUCCAAAGUGCUGGGAUUACAGGCGUGAGCCACCGCGUCCAGCCGAACUUUCUGAUGAAAACUAAGUCCACCUAAGCUAAAGACAGGAGUUGUAGCUGACGUGAAUUUUCAAAGAAGACCCACCGAUUUGAGGAAGCAAUUACUCUCCUGCUGAAGGUGAAAAGUCAGAAAACGGAACGAUGAAAUCACUAGGACCUAACCGGCAUGUGGAACUAUUUUCUGCUUAUGAACUAUCAGCUUUCAUUUCAUUUCCAGCUGAUAUUUUCUCAGCUCUUGUUGCCCAGGCUGGAGUGCAAUGGCUCGAUCUCAGCUCACCGCAACCUCCGCCUCCCAGGUUCAAGCAAUUCUCCUGCCUCAGCCUCCCGAGUAGCUGAGAUUACAGGCAUGCACCACUACGCCUGGCUAAUUUUGUAUUUUUAGUAGAGACGGGGUUUCCCCACGUUGAGGCUGGUCUCGAUCUCCUGACCUCAGGUGAUCCGCCCGCCUCAGCCUCCCAAAAUGCUGGGAUUACAGGCGUGAGCCACCACGCCCCGCCUGGUCUCAGCUGCUAUACAGUGUUUAUAAAUGUUCUUAAUCAAGGGAAUUUGUAUCGAUCUAGUAGAAUAAAAUAAAAUAUUUGAGUUCUUAAUUUCCUUUAAUUAGGAUAACUUUUUCUUCAAGUGAAGAGAACGGCUUUGUUACGUAAUUUUCUUAGGACAAGAUAGGCUGUAUUUUCUAGCAGUUACGCAUUUGUUACAUAUGAUGAUCUGGUUCUUGGAACAUUCUUGAAUCUAGUGUCUCUAAGGCAGGCGUGUACAGCAAGAAGUGAAGAACACAGAAAUCAAUGAUGAAAGCAUUAGAAGACAAGCAAAAGGUGUCCAAACCAUGCAGACCCACAGAAUCGAACCGAUGUCUCUAGAUUCCUCCUCCUAGAACUCUCAGGGGAUCCAGAACUGCAGCCAACCCUCGCCGGGCUGUUCCUGUCCAUGUGCCUGGUCGCGGUCCUGGGGAACCUGCUCAUCAUCCUGGCCAUCAGCCCUGACUCCCACCUCCACACCCCCAUGUACUUCUUCCUCUCCAACCUGUCCUCUCCUGACAUGGGUUUCACCUCCACCACGGUCCCCGAGACGAUUGUGGACAUCCAAUCUCACGGCAGAGUCAUCUCCUAGGCAGGCCGCCUGACUCAGAUUUCUCUGUUUGCCAUUUUUCGAAGCAUGGAAGAGAGACACGCUCCUGAGUGUGAUGGCCUAUGACCGGUUUGUAACCAUAUGUCACCCUCUAUAUCAUUCGGCCAUCAUGAACCCUUGUUUCUGUGGCUUCCUAGUUUGGUUGUCUUUUUUUUUUUUUUUUUUUCUUCUCAGUCUUCUAGACUCCCAGCUGCACAACUUGAUUGCCUUGGUAACGACCUGCUUCAAGGGUGCGGAAAAUCCUAAUUUCUUCUGUGACCCUUCUCAACUCCCCCACCUUGCAUGUUGUGACACCUUCACCAAUAGCAUAAUCAUGUAUUUUCCUGCUGCCGUAUUUGGGUUCCUUCCCAUCUCGGGGACCCUUUCCUCUUACUAUAAAAUGGUUUCCUCCAUUCUGAGGCUGUCAUCGUCAGGUGGGAAGUAUAAAGCCUUCUCCACCUGUGGGUCUCACCUGUCAGUGUGUUUUCUGGGUUUAUGGAAGAGGCGUUGGAGGGGACCUCAGUUCAGAUGUGUCCUCUUCCCCCAGAAAGGUUGCAGUGGCCUCAGUAAUGUACACGGUGGUCACCCCCAUGCUGAACCCCUUCGUCGACAGCCUGAGAAACAGGGAUAGUAAAGGUGUCCUGCAGCGGCCACACGGCAGCACGGUCCAAUCUCCAUAUCUUUUUAUCUGUUCCAUUCCUUCGGUAGUGUGGGUUAAAAAAGGCAGUCAGGUCAAAUAAGAAUGAUAAGACAGGGUGAACACCCACUGUGACAUUAGGAGUAAUACCUCCUUAGGAUAUAAAAAACACUGUCACAGAGUAUACACACGAGAGGUCCACUCACUGUGAUAUUAGAAGUAAUAUCUCCCUAUAAUAUGAAGAAAAAUAUCACAGGGUGAUUUCAUUCCCGAUGUUGGUAAUAAAACAAUGAUAAACAUUAAGAUUAAUAACUAAUAUUAAAAAUGGCAUUAAUAGUAAUAAUUCUAAUCAUGCAUAAUCCUCUCUUUAAAAUAAUCAUUAAUGAUUAAUAACGUUAUACUAUGAAUUAAUAUUAGCAUUGAUAGUUAUUAAUGAGACUGAUGUUUAAUAAUUCACAAUAUUAUGACUCCUAAUACCGCAGGAGGUGUACACCUGCCUGUGACAUUGUUCCUAAUAUCCAGGGAUGGAGAGCAUGAUAUUAGUUUUAAUAUCGCAGUAGGUGUACACUCACCCCGUGACACUGAUCCUAAUAUCCAGCGGGUAGAGUAUGACAUGACUGCAACAUAGCAAUGAAUGUACAGCCACCCGGUGAUAUUGCUCUUAACAUUCACGGAAGAAGCGUAUGACGUUACUCCCAAUAUCGCAGGGAGUGUCCACCCCUUUUGUGAUAUUGUUCCUAGUAUCCCGAGGGGGAGAGGAUGAUAAUAAUUCCAGCAUCGCAGGCUGUGUUCACCCACUCUGUGAUAUUGUUAUUAAUAUCGCAGGGAGUAGAAACACCCCUGUGAUACUGUUGUUACUCUUCAGGGAGGAAGAGGAUGAUGUUACUCGAAUACAGACGGGUGUACGUCCUCUGUAGAAAGCCGGUGUACACCCGUCUGUGAAAUAGUUGAUAAUUUCCAGAGGGGAAGAUAUUAGUCACAAUAUGGUAAACGGGCUGUGAGUCCACCGCGGGUCCUAAGAGCCAGGGGGGCAGAGGGGCUGGCUCUCAGUCCCCACCUCGCGGGGGGCGCCUCGCCCCCCUGCCUCUCCCGCCCUGCAUAUUACGAAAAAUAUCACAGAGUGGGUGUACACCUCCUGCGAUAUGGGGGGUAAUAUCAUCUUGUCUUCUUUUGGAUAAUAGGAACAAUAUCACACGGGUUUGUACACUUUCUGUGAUAUUGGGAGUAAUAUCAACCUCUCUGCCUUGGAAUAUUAAGAACAAUGUCACAGAAUGGAUGUACACCCCCUGCGAUAUUGGGAGUAAUAGCAGCCUCUCCUCUCCGUGGAUGUUCGGAGUCAUAUCCCAGGGUGGCUGUACACAUCCUGCUGUAUGCACCCUAUUUGUAAUCUUUUAUCCCUCACCCCCCUCCCUAUUAAAUAAUAGACAAAAAAUAAUGGGUUUAGAAUAAAUGAGUUCAAACAAAUUGUCAAACAUAUGUGGGAAAAUUGGAAUCAGUUUCUGAGGAAAAGCAAAAAACUCAACAGAAAUGCUCAUAAAGCAUCAUCCCUUCAUGGCUAGAGCUGCCAGGACACCAGAACACCAAAAUCAGCUAGGGAAAUUUUGUAGAAGUCCUAGAUGUACUAACUGUUCUGUGAAUACACAGAGAUGUAAUUAUAACUGUUACCUGCAUGUAGAGUAAAGAUGAGAAGGGAUUGGUCAUGGUGACAGCUACCUCAGGUUUUACAGAGCAGACGUGGUUCCAGGACAGUAUGUGUCAGGGCAGAGGGGUCCUCAGAGGCUAUUAGAAGCUGGUCAUGGCACAGACAUUGUAAGUCAGAUGGUCUCAUUACUUUCAAUGACGAAAGCAAAAUUGCCUUUGCAUCAGCCUAAUACAACGGCCUGGCAAGAGCACAGGAAACGUCCCUCUGGUGUUAGAUGGAGGCCUCUGAUGCAGCACAAUUCCUUCAUCCCCUUCUCCAAAACCCCCUCUUCCAAUUCCACUGAAGAGAAAAUCUGAUGCAAAUCUGGUGUAAGCAGGCUCAGAUAUAUCUACCACUAUAGAUAGUAGAGGUGACUCACAAAUCCAAGCCUAUCAAAUACAUCACUAAGAAAUUACAUGUUUAAUUUUUUUUUGAAAUUAGGGAUCAUGAUAUGAAAGUUAUCAGAAUCAAAACUGUCACUAAUGUUUAAAAGGAAAAGAAAACACCUGGACAAAUAGAUUCAGAGAAGGCCUUGAAGAGAGGGUUCUCAUGCUUCUAGGCCUGAUAACAAAAACUAUCACAAAAUGCCACAAAAACCACAACCUUGCACAAAGGCCAUAGCAACCUUACACAAAAUACACUUCUGUGAGGACAUCUAUCCAGCAACCACCUGCCCAACCUUCAACUGACGUCGACCUUGUUGUUGAUCUGUAUAGUUGAAGAUAACUAUAUCGAAACAAUUACAUAAGCCUCUUCAUUUUUCCUUUGUUUGUUUCUACUCCCCCAUGCUUCCAGGUUGAUCGUUUUUCUGUUAAAGACCUUGUCUUCCUUCACCAUUUGAAUCUACAUAGUUUCUUUUGUCAGGCAUGUUCCCAUUGCAAUGUCCUCCUCCCUAAGGUGUGUCUUUUUCCAUCAGAGAGCCUUUCUCUGUUUUCUAGGUUUACAAUGAGAAGGGGUCUGAAGCAUUUUUGUAAAAUUUUUACUGUCUUCCUAGGAACAAAUCAUUGACUUACAGUAUUGAUAUUGACUUAUUUACAUUUCUGGGGAUGAGGAAUUAAAGAUUUCACAAAUUUUCUUCUUGAGAAGAUCCAAGUUUUCACGUCAGCAAAACUGAAUAUGUAAAUUGAUAUGUAAAUUAUGCUGCAGAUAAUAUAGUCAAAUGUUUACUUGUAUUUAAUUUGUUACACAUGAAUAUUGCACAUGUGAGAUAAUAUACUAAGAAAUUAUCACAUUUAAUGAAAUGCUUUAAUCAAAUUCCCGAUUGAAUUUUUGAUAUCAAUAUCUUUUUCAUUGUUUAAUCCAUCUUUAGAGUGAACAGGGCUGUCUAGGCCAAAGUCCUCACUUCUAUCUACAUUGUCUGAGUUACAGAAAUUUUUGAAUUUAUUAUGUUGUCACAGGCAGUUUCCUAUUGCUUGUAUAAAGGAGUCUCUCUCAAUAUGAUGCAGAAUCCAAAAGCCCUGAAAGGCGUAUAUCCUGAGUUUCUGUUACCGGAGCCAAAGGUUGCCAAUUUCUUGUAGAUCCUGCUACAGUUAAACUUCAUUUAAGCAAUCAUUAGAAGCUGCAUUUAUUCCCUCACUUGAAAUUUUGAUUUCACACUAUUAGGACUAAUUCUCUAAGUCUUUGCUAAGUAAUGUUCCUCCUUUUCUUGUAGCUUCACUCUGAUGAUCUCUAUAUGCAACAUCAAUUGACAUAAAGUACAUUUGGGG